GACGAACGCUGGCGGCGCGCUUAACACAUGCAAGUCGAACGGGGUCCUUCGGGGCCCAGUGGCGAACGGGUGCGUAACACGUGAGCAACCUGCCCAUGCAUGGGGGAUAACCAGGGGAAACCCUGGCUAAUACCGCAUACGUUCUUUGGGAGGCAUUUCCUGGGGAAGAAAGCCACUGCAAGGUGGCGUGCGUGGAGGGGCUCGCGGCGUAUCAGCUAGCUGGUGGGGUAACGGCUCACCAGGGCGACGACGCGUAGCCGAUCUGAGAGGAUGAUCGGCCACAUUGGGACUGAGAUACGGCCCAGACUCCUACGGGAGGCAGCAGUGGGGAAUCUUGCGCAAUGGGCGAAAGCCUGACGCAGCGACGCCGCGUGCGGGAGGAAGCUCUUCGGGGUGUAAACCGCUGUCAGGGGGGAAGAACGGUACGGGGAGGAAAUGCCUCGUAUUUGACGGUACCUCCAGAGGAAGCACCGGCUAACUCUGUGCCAGCCGCCGCGGUAA
rnacentral:rRNA from 1 species